rnacentral:ribozyme from 1 species
UGACCAGCAAGUCCUAUCCCUACCUCCUCGUGGUACCGGCCGGAAACUAUGAGCAACCUUAGGUAAGAUCGGGUAACCAACCCCGGUGGGAACUUUGGUCGUUCGUUGACAGGGAAGG